AGCAUAUGGUCAUGGGAGAGCGAAGCUCCUCUCCACACAGCUGCUUUCAUCCUUCCAGGGGGACCAUAGAUGGGUCCGAAGUCAGCCCAAAGAGGUGACCGUGAAGGAGGGGCACUCCAUUGAUCAUGAAGCGACAGUAGUCACUUCAUUUGAUCUGGGGGAAGCCCUCCAACCCGACAGGAGAAAGGCUAGUGUGAGAUCAGUGUCUAGCCCAAGCUAUUUGCAGCCGAAGUCCAAGAGCACAAACCCAAACAUCAAUGAACAGCGUGCUUAGAAUUGGAUAAAGAAAGAGGGAGAGAUUAGUUUUUAUAUUGUAUGUGUCAAACCCAGCGUAAUACCUACCCGGCUGUAUUACAAUAUCCAGCGUUGCUUGAGCGGACGGUCGAAUCAGGCGUUUCCAAGCAGCCCCGAUGGAAUGGCAAGCUACACCAUCGGCGUCCGUCCUGCGCGUCGUCAGCAGAUGGAUCACGUGAUCGCCUCAUGUGGAGAGCAGUGCAUGGUGUAGGAGUGACUAUCCUGAUCGAGAACAAUGGGACGCUGUUUUGAAAGAGACGCUGGGUCUGACAGGGUUUGGUUUUCGCGAGAGAAGAGGGACUGGUGGGUGGAGUUUUAUCACAGGGCGAGGUGAACGGGCGUAGCAUGGGCAGGGUUUCCUUAUAAGGGUUAAUUAGGGUGUGUGUGGUGGGCGUGGCGCGGCGCGGUAUUUAGAGUACUGGGAUGGAGUCCUUCCCAGGGCAAACUUUGUUUCCUACACUGUGCAUUAAACUUUGUUGGAUCCUGUAA